GUUAUUUAAGAUGCUUCCAUGGAAAAUGAUGCAGCUCUCUGCACCCAGAAAGGAUAAUUUGAUCCAGUGUCACUAAACAAAAAUUUCAGACACAUUCCAUAUAACAUCCCAUUUUGACAACAUCAGAACUUCCAAUUUAGAAAAAUUUGGUCAAAUCUUUCUAAACAAUAAGGUAUGGAAGCUCAUUUUACAAAUAUUUCAAAAUGUCAGAUGGCAUGUUUAUUAGUUAUUUGCAAGUGAGAAAAAAAAAUCAGCAGCUUCUCGGAGUAGUCAAUAAUAAAAA
rnacentral:misc_RNA from 1 species